rnacentral:rRNA from 1 species
CCUACGGGAGGCAGCAGUAGGGAAUAUUGCUCAAUGGGGGAAACCCUGAAGCAGCAACGCCGCGUGGAGGAUGAAGGUUUUCGGAUUGUAAACUCCUUUUGUUAGAGAAGAUAAUGUCGGUAUCUAACGAAUAAGCACCGGCCAAAUCCGUGCCACCAGCCGCGGUAAUACGGAGGGUGCAAGCGUUACUCGGAAUCACUGGGCGUAAAGAGCGCGUAGGCGGGGUAGCAAGUCAGCUGUGAAAUGCUAUGGCUUAACCAUAGAACUGCCUUUGAAACUGUUAUUCUAGAGUAUGUGAGAGGUAGGUGGAAUGCGUGGUGUAGGGGUAAAA